CUAUUUUUUUUUUAAUUUUUUUUUUUAAUUUUUUUUUUUUUAAUUUUGUCGGUUUUUUAC
rnacentral:ribozyme from 1 species